GAAUUCGCCCUUAGAGUUUGAUCCUGGCUCAGGACGAACGCUGGCGGCGCGCCUAACACAUGCAAGUCGAACGAGCGAGAGGAGGUUUACUUUCUCAAGCGAGUGGCGAACGGGUGAGUAACGCGUGAGGAACCUGCCUCAAAGAGGGGGACAACAGUUGGAAACGACUGCUAAUACCGCAUAAGCCCACGACCCGGCAUCGGGUAGAGGGAAAAGGAGCAAUCCGCUUUGAGAUGGCCUCGCGUCCGAUUAGCUAGUUGGUGAGGUAAUGGCCCACCAAGGCGACGAUCGGUAGCCGGACUGAGAGGUUGAACGGCCACAUUGGGACUGAGACACGGCCCAGACUCCUACGGGAGGCAGCAGUGGGGAAUAUUGCACAAUGGGGGAAACCCUGAUGCAGCGACGCCGCGUGGAGGAAGAAGGUCUUCGGAUUGUAAACUCCUGUUGUUGAGGAAGAUAAUGACGGUACUCAACAAGGAAGUGACGGCUAACUACGUGCCAGCAGCCGCGGUAAAACGUAGGUCACAAGCGUUGUCCGGAAUUACUGGGUGUAAAGGGAGCGCAGGCGGGAAGACAAGUUGGAAGUGAAAUCCAUGGGCUCAACCCAUGAACUGCUUUCAAAACUGUUUUUCUUGAGUAGUGCAGAGGUAGGCGGAAUUCCCGGUGUAGCGGUGGAAUGCGUAGAUAUCGGGAGGAACACCAGUGGCGAAGGCGGCCUACUGGGCACCAACUGACGCUGAGGCUCGAAAGUGUGGGUAGCAAACAGGAUUAGAUACCCUGGUAGUCCACACUGUAAACGAUG
rnacentral:rRNA from 1 species